UAUAUUUGCCUCCGUUAAGGUUCUAAAAAAACAAUUUAGGAUUAAAAGGGAAUACAGUGAAAAACUGUAACAGUACCCGCUGCUGUGAAUACCAAAUAGAAAUUAGAAUACGUACAUUCGACUUUCUAUAAAUUUUUAGACGCUAAACGUCACUAACCACCUGUGUGGAUGGGAAGACAAAUCUAAGAAGGUAUAAGUCAGAAGACCUGCCUCAACACAUUUAAGUUA
rnacentral:ncRNA from 2 species